CCACUUUUCCCUCUCUCCCUCCCUUCUUCUUUUUUUGCUUCCUCUCUUCCUUCUUUCUUAUCUUCUGUAAAAUAGAUCUUACUUUAUGCUAACAGAUCAGUCUGCAGUUUCCUCACAGGGAAUGGAUCCAAAAUAAAUACCACAUGCUGGGAGUCUCUGGUCCUGAUUCUAUCUUAUCCUCAUGUGAAACUGAGGAAUAGGGUAAAAGGAAAUGGACAUUGGAUACAGCCAGAAG
rnacentral:lncRNA from 1 species